rnacentral:rRNA from 1 species
AGCAUUUAGACGGCUUUCUUUGCAAUCCCAAGUCUAUUUUUUUCAUAUACGCCAUUGUAUGUAACAGAAUGUAUCAUUGGUCCGCGUGGCUAUAAUCGGUAUUCAACUUUCAGCAGAGGAUCUCUUGUCUCUCGCAUUGAUGAAGAACGCAGCGAAAUGCGAUAAGUAAUGUGAAUUGCAGAAUUCAGUGGCUCAUCGAAUCUUUGAACGCACCUUGCGCUCCUUGGUAUUUCGAGGAGCAACCCCUCUUGAGUGUCUUUAAAUUCUCAACCAUUAUCAACUUUUGCUGAUAAUGGCUGGGAAAUGGGGGUUAUUCGGCCGGCCUCUAAGAUAGUCAGCUCCCGUUAAACGCUUUACCUGGUGCCCCGCGUGGACUGUCGAUUGGUGUGAUAAUUAUCUACGCUAUGGACAUCUGCAAUCAUAUGGGUUUGCACUGCUUCCAACAG